UACGGAAGGCAGCAGUGGGGAAUAUUGCACAAUGGGCGCAAGCCUGAUGCAGCCAUGCCGCGUGUAUGAAGAAGGCCUUCGGGUUGUAAAGUACUUUCAGUCGUGAGGAAGGUGUUAAGGUUAAUAACCUUAGCAAUUGACGUUAGCGACAGAAGAAGCACCGGCUAACUCCGUGCCAGCAGCCGCGGUAAUACGGAGGGUGCGAGCGUUAAUCGGAAUUACUGGGCGUAAAGGGCACGCAGGCGGUUAAUUAAGUUGGAUGUGAAAUCCCCGGGCUUAACCUGGGAAUGGCAUUCAAGACUGGUUAGCUAGAGUCUUGGUAGAGGGGGUAGAAUUCCAUGUGUAGCGGUGAAAUGCGUAGAGAUGUGGAGGAAUACCGGUGGCGAAGGCGGCCCCUGGACAAAGACUGACGCUCGAUGUGCGAAAGCGUGGGGAGCAAACAGGGAUUAGAUACC
rnacentral:rRNA from 1 species